UCCCAACAAAUAAUCAUUUCCCUUUCCCCAACGAUUCCAGAGCUCGGAUAGGAAACCAAUCUGAAACCCUAUUUUCACCAAAGUUCAUCCCUCUCCCCUUGUCUCAUGCACUUUACCUCUUGCCUCAGUCUGGGUCCCUUUCCCAUUUCACUUCCAACGCUCGCUCUGCAUAUGCAAGAACUCUGCCCACUAGAUAAAUCGUUUCACUUCUCUUUAACGUUUCUGUUGCAAUGGUAUGUGAUAAUCCAUUCGCCGCUCAUAUGGUAUAUUUGAAACUGAUACACCGAAAACUGCCUUCUAACUGUUUUAUAUUGUGAAUGUAUGCCCCUAUAACCAAUUUGUCUCGAUAUUUUGACUUACAUUUCUUAAUUGUGGUUAAUGAAUCCCCCUCCAAUAUAACCUCUUCCCAACCUAUUUCUACGCCCAUUUCCAACGCCUGAUGGCAUGCAAUGGCUUCGGCGGCGAAAGCGGACAAUACUCCGCUAUGGGUCUCCGAACGAGAUAACAGAACCCGCCCCUUAGCAUUCCUUGCGACAGCUCCUGAGGCCGACCGAAAGUUUCGACCGUCUUAAGCUCCAUCAAAGUUAAUCUUCACGGUAGAUCCAGAAGGUUUGCCCCAUUCCCCCCCCCCCCCCCGUAUUUGCUCUUGGAUAAGUCCAUUUCUCUGUUUCUGUCAUCUCUAAGAUAGUUUUCGAUAAAACGAGCAAUCUCCUUACCUGUUUUAAUUUUCCGUUCAUGUACCCUGGUAUUUCUAUCGCCCCAGAUAGCCCAAAGCGCACAACAGAAAAUACGCUUCUGAGUGGCCGAGCAUCCACCAAAAACCCAGGUUCGCCACUAAUCAAAACCCAUAUCUGCUGAGCCUAGAAUACAAGUUAACUGUAAUUCUGACCAUACCUCUAUGGACACAGGGCACGCACGAAACACAUGGUCUACUGUUUCGGCCUCUCCUCCACACCGGGACAGCAUACUUUUUAAUGAGCUUCUUAUGUUUCAUGCUAACAAAAGUAGGUAGAUAGUUCCAAGAGAUCCUCCAUAUUGUAAUCUUAAUUUUCCCAGGGAGGUUUAGGCCCCAUAGCUGUUUAUAAAAUUCCUUAGUACUGGUCUGUAAAGCAUAAGCAGUAGGAACCAUAGGAAAGUUCUAUAAUAGUUUAUAAGCUACGUACCAAAAACUCCCCGGAUGGCUCACCACUCCACACCAUCAGAUCUUCAUGUGCCUCAUGUGCCAGCAGAAUUCGAAGGAUUCUAGAAGUGUCCACCGUCGCAAAGGUAUUAACGAUUAAUUCUUCUUUAAUUCUUCUUUCUAUAUUCUUUGAUUAGCAUCAAUCAGAUCAACAAUCAUAGAAUUUUGCAUGCUAUUAUCAUAAUUGACUAAUCUGUAAUUAGCAGCCCCAAGAAUCCAAGCUUCAUCAUUAAUUGAAAUUUUAACACCCGAACCCACCCUACAACAUAAUCCCUCUUGCAAUACACCCUUUGCAGCCCAAAUUCUUUUCCAAGUAUAAGAUGUAAAUUAUCUGAAGGCGCAUUAAUACAAUCUAACCUUGGAAAAUACUUCGCUUUAAGAACAUGGGAUAAUAAUGAAUCUGGAUAGUUUAUCAGCCUCCAACCUUGCUUAGCUAACAAAGCAAUAUUGAACUUCCCCCUUGUUUCUUUGGCCUACACAUUUGACUCCAAGCACACCAAUGAAUCCCCCUCCCAUAUCACUUUUGCCGCCAAGAUCGUGUCAUUAUCUUUUCAAGCUACCUACAAAGAGAAUUUGGCAAUAGAAAACACUGCAUAUAUUGGUAUAGCCUGAAGUACCGAUUUCUUGUGACAAUAACCUUAUUCUCCAACCCUCAAUUCUUGCUUUAACCCUGUCCUUAAAAUUGAAGAAACACUUUUUCCACCUUUCCACUAUAUUUGGCAACCCUAAAUACCUCUCCGGGUUAUUAGAAAAACGCAUCCCCAAAGUGGUCACAGUUUUAUUUUUCUCCUCCAUGGUAUUCGAACUAAAAAAGAUUGUAGACUUAUCGAAAUUCAUGCAUUGUCUUGAACAUCGUUCAUAUUCUUAUAAAAUUCCUUUCACAACUAAAGCUCAUCUGAUCGAUGCCUCGUCAAAAAUAAUACUAUCAUCCCCAAAAAGCAUGUGCGAGAUUUGAGGGCCUUACCUACUGGCCUUCGCUUAUUGCAAAAGACCAUCUUUCAUUGCCAACCGCAAUAAAGUCGAAAGUCCUUCACCGCACAUGAGGAAAAGAAAAGGACCAAGGGGGUCACUUUGACGAAACCCCCCAGAAGGCUUAAAAUUCCUCCCCCUUUUCCCAUUUACGUUGACUGAAUAAGAAACCGAGGAAAUACAUCACAUGAUAAGAUCAACCCAAUCUCUAAAUAAUUCAUUAAACUUAAAUUUAUAGAAUUUGUGAUUUACUUAUAUUAGAUAAUUAUUGCUUAAGAUGAAUACAAUUCCAUUUUAAUUAUAGAAUCAUAUUUUUAAAAUUAAAAUAAUUUAAUCAACACAUUCAUUUAUAUUAUGUUUUGAUAGAGAUAUGUUAGUUUGGAUUAUGAUAUUAACAUUUAUUAAGUGUAAAUUUAUAACAACUUUUAUUUGGAACAUGCAUAAAUUUGUCCGAACGAUUUAAUUACUAGCUUAUUGGGCCUCUUUUUUUUUUUGAAAUAGGGAUUUACUUCCUAAAAUCAACUUUUCUUUAUCUACUUUUGGAACUGAAUUAAAAAUCUAAUUUGAUUUUAGAAUUGAGAUGAGAGAUUCAAUUUUAAUAUGCGGGUUAAACUCCAGCUGAUAAUUCAAUUGGGACAUUCUUUGCUUGUUUUAUGUUGGAAUUUGUUUUAGUUUACUUUCAAUUAUUUUGUUAUGAAAAAAAUUGAUUUUUUUAAUUAAAUUUGAUUCGUAUUGUUAGAGCUCGAUGAUUAAAUAUGAUAUUUGAUAGGUGAGUGGGAACUUUGCAAGUGUCACACCCCAAGUCUAGCAGAUCCAAGAUUAAGGCGUGUGGUUGUGUAGUUAUCUGUUUGACGUAGUCAAAAUCGCCAUGUGGAGUCUUUUGGCGAAUUUGAACAUGGCGUAUGGUACCUUUCGUUGAGUAAAUAAAGGUUUUAGGUUAUUCUGUUAUCUAAUAGAAGGAUAUAUCAAGCGAAGUAUAAGCCAUAUGAAAGUUAUCGCCAAAUGUAUAGUAUGCUUAAUUUGUCCGGAUACUGUGCUAGUUGGGUUGUAAAGUGGCCUAGUUAGGAACCAACUGGAUUAGGUGGUCUAAUAUCCAUUAUAUAGGAUUCUCAUUUAUGUUUCUUUCAAAAUCUAUGAGCCAUCAAGAAUGACAAAUUUUGGACACAAAUUACUUAAUGUCAAGUUCCACUAAAGGGGUUUAGGAGUAUAUAUGUGCGUGUGAAGGUUUGUCAGGAAGCUUCUUCUAGUUUCUUUCUUAAAUUUAAAUAUUUUCUUUUCCUCAUUAAGUUGGUAGCUAAGGUUCUUGAGUUAAUCAGAGAUUGUUCCACCUUCUAGUAAGUGAUAUAGCUCUGCAUAUUAAGUUUUUGAUACAGUAAGGUUGUUAAAUGUUAUAUGAAUAAUAAGUCAUGAAUACAAGGCCUUGCAUGGGGGUUAUUUAUGAUUGGGAUGUUAGCAGAUUAUCUGUAAAUGGAUUUUAAUGGUGAAUAUAUGUUCUUUAAGCAGUUGUUGCUGUUGAGUCGAGAUGGAUGCUCGAGUCUAGAGCUUCGAGCUAUAGUAAGUGAGUAUCAGGUGAGUCUCUAUUUUGACUCUUACAUGUUAAUUGUUUAGGUAAAAGACUUAUAUAUAAUGAUAAAACUUAAGAUAACGGGUGGGUAGGUGAAGCAUAGUAAAGAUGUUAUGUGUGUGUGACAAUAUUUUGUAUGAACUACUUUGUGAAUAGAAAGUGAUUAGUAAGUAUGCAGGUAAAAUUUUUGAUAUAGGAAUGUAUGAAUCGAUUAGCUAUGCGUGAACAAAUCUGGAUAAGUUAAUUCUGAGUAAAACAUUUUUUGUGAUGCCUUUAGUAGGGUAGGUAUAUUGCUAAGUAGACUGGCAAAUCACGAUACGAAAAAAAGUGUAAGACCAUGUGGUUAAGACCCAUGAUAAUAUAUGAUAUGAAAACACUUAUGGUGUAGUCUUCAAUAAAAUGAAAGUUAGAUUGACAGAUCAUGACAUGAGAAUGUGUGUCUAUGUGACUGAAACCCAUGACAAUAUAUGAUUGUAUGAAUGUUCAUGGUGAUGUCUUCGAUAAUGUGUAGAUCGAACUGACAGAUCACGAUGAAUUUAUGUAUAAGUCAAUGAGGGAGAAACCCAUGACACUUUUUGUGAAAGUCCGUCGGACAGUAAACACGCGAUUCUAUAUGUUUGUCUGUGUGACAUAAUCUGCUACACUUUUGUGGCAAGUUUUGUAUCAUCUUAUUGGUGUAUUCGAUGAUAUCUAUGUGGUAAAAUAUUAUUAUCCGCUAUUGUGGUAAAUUUUGGAUAAAUUUUGAGAAUUAUUUGAUAGUUAAGUCUAUGAAAAGGUUAUGAUAUGUCUAAAGUUAGUUUAGUUGAUUUAGUUCUGUGAUGUAAUCGAAUAAGUUUAAAGGGAAGUUCUUGGAAUGAAGUGUGUAUUUGUAUGUUCAAAGAAGACAUCCACCAUGGUAAUUUAUUAGUUUAGAAUAUGGAUGUAUUCAAAUUACGAAAGGUAUAAGUGUUUGUUAAUAUGAAUUUGGACUACGCUAUGAAAGAUUGAAAUAGGAAUUAUUUGAUAUCUGUCACAUUUGAGCAGUAUCAUGUCUUAUUUAGGGAUAGUUGGAAUCUAAGUUUUCAGUAAAUCUGGUAUUAUUAUAUUGUGAAAUGUAGAUGUUUAGGUUUCUUCUAAAUGACCUAGAGUGUUCCUUAUCAGUAUGAGUAUAAUUAUUGGGUUGAAUCAAGGUAUGAUCUGGUUGAUGGUCUAAUUUGGAAAACUAAGUAUGAGAAUCCAUUAAAAGUAAGAACAGUAGAUAGUAUUCGCUAAGAGAAUAGUACUCGUGAUUAUCUGUUCUGGAAUAACCAAAGAUGGUUGUUUGAAGAGAAGAGAAAAGGUAGUAUUGUCUGGUAAGGUCUAGAGUCAGUCAUUUAGAUAGAUGAAAGAUGACAUGUUAAGAAAGCAUGUGGCAUAUAAGCAUGUAAUUAUUUGACGAUGUGAAGGUAUUCACCGAAGACAGAAGUGGGUCAUCUAAAUAGUCAGGAUGAAGAAUUCAACAUGAAAGGUUCAAAGGUAAUUUGCAUUUCAAACUCACUAGGUUUGUGUAAGUUGUAAGUAUUAUGUUUAUGUUUUAGAUAUUAUUAUAAGAAUGAGUUCACUAAAAGAGACUACGCCAGGAAUUCGCCAAGGAAGCGGCGAUCCGUGUUAUUAUGCAUAUAGUGAACAUCUUUGGAUAGUGGCGUAUUGCAGGAUUAUGCCUUGAAAGUCCGUCCUUAGCAAAUUUUGGGUGUUGUAAUAAUUUAUAAUUAGCUUGAUGUAUUAUUAUUUUAUUUUUAAAUACCUUUCUUUAUUUCUUUGAUAUUGAGCCUUUAAAUAAAUUGAUAAGAAAAAUGUUUUAAUAAAGUUUUUAAGUUAAGAAUACAAGUUGGCUGUUUUGAAUUUCUUGCUAAGUAUUUGUGUAGUGACACUCGAGAUCCAGACUUGGUGAAUUGGGUCACGUUGAGUAUGUUACAACAAGGGUUGAAACAGGGAGAGCAAAAAUGCUCCCUACAAGGUGCGUCUUCAGUGACAUGUCAGAAAAAUGCAUUGAAAGCAUGCCUAGUUGGAGGCAUUUUUAGUGCCAUGUCAGCUGAAAACGUUUCUAGCGAGGUGUGUUUUCAAUGCAUUUUUUGACAUGUUAGUAGAGACGCGUCCUGUAGGGAGGAUUUUCACUCUCCCUGUUUCAACCCCUGCAAAGUUCCCACUCACUCGCCAGAUAUCCCGGGAAUCCUGAGAUAAUAUUUUAUGAACAUUUUGGGUUGACCUCCACCCAUCAUAAACUACAAGUGAUCAAAACUUGAUUCGAUUGGAAAAAAAUGCGAACUUUAAGUUAAUCGGAUUGAGUAAUUCGUGUUUUGAUUUCGAAUCGAGUUAAAUUUUAUAAUGCGAAUAACAGAUUGGUAGAUUGGUGUGACUAUCUUUUUGGUAAUUGCCAAAUUAGUCUUAAAAUAAUGACAAAAAAAUUCAGAAUAAUUUCAAAAUUUUAAAAAUAAUAUUAUUUUUAAAACUCAAAAUAUUUAUAACAAUUUUAAAAUUUAUAUAUUUUCACCAAAUAUAAAUACUAUAAAAAUUUUCGUUAAAGAAAAUAUAAAAAUGUUAUCAUAUUUAAAAAAAUCAUAAAAUAAUAUUUUUGGAACCUAACCCUAAAUUCUAAACUACAAAAUUCUUAAAAACUUUAAAUCCUAACCUCAAAAAAAACUUCAAAAAAAUCAUUUGUGGAGACAUAAGGAAAACCCAUCUUGCUAUACAUGCUUUGUUGACCAAGCAGGAAAGUGCGUCUAGCUAGAAGCGUUCUCUUGUCAAAUCUAUUGAAAACGCAUCCAAUAUCUUUCUUUUUAAAAUUGGCCUAAUCCGAUAAAUUUCAAAAAAAAAAUACCCUAGUUCGAUAAUUUUUUAAAAAUUUUAACAUUUUUAGGUAAUUCACCCGUAAGGGAUUCUAAUAUUCCCUCAACUUUUCCUUCCUCGUUUCCCUUGCUUUCUUUUAUUUGAAUUUUUGUUCCCUUUAUCUUAGUCUAAGCACAAUGUAAAAGAUGCAAUUGUUAAAAGAAGUUUAUGAAUCUAAAUAGUAGGAAGGUGUCAUACUUAAAUGUUUACACCUGAUUCGAGACUAUUGUAUGAAGCAAUUUUUUAAUAUAAUAUUAUUACGAAAUUGAAUGUUUUUAAUAUAGUGUUUUGUGCAUUAAAUAUUUUUAAUAUAAUCUUUAGUGUAUUAAGCAUUUUUAUUUUGUUAAGAAGAAAAUUAUCAAAUAGGGUUUUUUUUUUCUCAAAUGGUUAAACUAGAUUUAAAUAUAAUUGUAAAGGUUUUUUUUUUUUGGUUAUAUAUAAAAGCAUUUUUUUGUCCUGCGAAAGCAUAAUGUAAGUGUUGAAGUUGUUUUUAUUGAGUUGAUACAUAUAGAAAUGUAAGUGUUGAAGUUGUGUUAAGUUGUUUUUGCUAAGUCGAGACAUAUAGAAACAACUUAAAACUGGAAAAGUAAAUGAUGAAUACAUCAAAUUAUUUACACGAAUAGGAUCCAAUUCUCUAUCUAUGAGCCUUUCUUAGAAGGUAAAUCGUUAUAAUUUUUAUGGUACAAGAGAUUAUUUAAGCCCAAUCUCACUCACAACUAUUGUAACCUCAUUCUUGUACAAUUACAAUGAAGAAACUCUCCACACUUAGGCUUUCCCCAAUAAAUGCUUAAUACAAGUUGCUAAAAUAGUAUAAUUACAAACAAAUUGUACACACAAAUAUUCCUGACAAUAAACAACUUUGUGCUCUCUUAAUUCCACUUAAAUAUUGUAAAACACAUCUUUAAUGUAUAAGUUUUGUAACCCACGUGCAUCGAAUGAUCAAAUCAAAUCACUAGAGUUUUACCUCAAAUAAAUUUCUAUUCUAGUAUAAAAUAAUAGUGGAGAUAUUUAUCCAUAUCUUUCUCUAAUCACGUAUUCCUUGUAUGUCAAUAAUUCUUCUUUCAUAAUAUCAUAAGUCUAUCAAAGAGUACUUGAAUAAAAGUGUAAUUAAAAAUUAAAGAAUUGUAAUUCCCUAAAUGUAUUUGGCUGACAGAAUGUAAUUACAUUGGAAUUUCCCAUGUCAAGUUUAGUAAUAUAAAUUGUAAUUACAUAGUUAGAUAAUUUAUAAUUUAAAAAAUAUUAAUUACUACAAAAAUUAUUAAUACGAUAAAAAUAAUUUCUAAACUUGUAACUAAAAUUAAAAUAUUCUCUCAUAAUAUUAGAAAUAUUUCAUACAUCAAAGUACUUAAAAUAAUGAAAUUUAAGAUGAGUAAAGCCUUGAAUUUGAUUUUUUUAGAGUCUUGUCAUAGAAUAUUAAUAUAUUAAUAAAACAUAUUUGAGAAUAAAUUUAAUAUUUCAAUUAUAAAAUAAUUACAUUUUUAGCUUAAGAUUAACUUGGAGCAUAUUUAAACAUAAAAUAAAUUAUUUUAAAGAAUUUAAUAAUAUUGAAAAGUUUAAUAAUUAAAAAUAUUAAAUUAAAUAAUUUAAUUUAAAAGGAUAUUUUUAACAAUCACUUUUAGUAAUUUUAGAUCAAGAUUAAAAGUCUAAUAAUUUAAAUAUUAAAUUAAAAAAAAUAAAAAAGGAUAUUUUGAUAAUCACUUUUUAUAGUUUUAGAGUUGAGUCUCAUAUAAAAAAAGAUAUUAUUUACUCUUUGUAAUCUCUAGAAUUCUUUUCUCAUAAGUAGUAAAUGUAACUAAUUGAGGGCAUUAAUAUUGUCCCUUGUGUUUUAUGAUUUAUUUUAUAUUGAUAUCAUUUAAAUUACGUUUCUAUUAAAAAAGAUUCAACAAAUAGUAUUAGAGGCUAAGUUAUAUUAUGUUGUUCUUUCUACCUAACUCCAGGUGAAGGCCCUUGCUGGUGUUGUUAUGCAUAUGUUAAGUAAUGGAUUUUCUUGGUAUUACAUUAAAAAACGAAAGAGAGAAUUGAGCUACAUGAAAAUGAUUCAAUAGUUGAGACUACCUAUCAGAAAGAAGGAUAAUUAGUAAGAAUGGGACAGGAAAAUAGAUUUGAGAGUUAAAACACUACCCACUGAAAGAGAAGAAUAUUGAUUGAUAAAGAUGAAGAUAAAUCAGUGGUUAAUGUUGAAGAUGGAAGGUCUUUUCAUAAGCAAUAAUAAAUGUUACCAAGCGAAAGUUGGGAUGUCAAAGGUUCGGUUUUAAGAGAAGAAAGUUUAGGUGGUGAGGCACCAUCGGUUUUGCAGCUUUGCCAACCCCAUUGAUCCUUGUAAGUUGAGGAACAAAUUCAUGGGUUCAAAUUGAUGAUCUAGGCUGCUGCAACUAGACACAGUUGCAGAAAAAACUUUGGGAUUCUCUUUCCGUUUUAAUCAGAAGGCCUUCAGAAAUAUAUUCUAUUGACUCAUAACCUAUGACAUUUCAUGUUUUUCUAGACAGUAGAACGCUAUUUAAGCAUAUACAUAUAUGGCUUAUGGAAACUUGUAGUGUUGAUCAUUAAAAGUAGAACUAUAAGUACAAACAAACUUUUUCAGUACUAAAUUCACAAUAAAGCACAACAAGAAGCCAGCAACUUACAAUUGCCUGAUCAUCUGGGGAAAAGGAAACAAAAAUUCGAUGACAGUAAUGGUCAUAUAGCGAACAACAGAGCAUCAUUUUCACUCAGCAGCUACAUUCUCGCCAUUAUCACCAUUAUUCCCAUCAUUUCUGGUACCUGGCAAAGUCCUAAACUUUGCAGUUCCAUUGUUUUCGUUGUAUAUCUGUGAAGCAUUAUUGUUCUUAUUCUUGCCCGAAUUCCCAUUGUUGUUGCUGUAGCUCUGAGCAACUUCGUUGUUUUCAUUCUGACCUGCAUUUUCAUUAUUGUAGGUCUGAGCCAUAUUAGUAUCAUUCUGACUUGUGGAAUCCUGGUUGUUCAUGUUGUCCUGAACAACAAUGUUGUUCUCAUUCUGACUUGCUUUCUCAUUGUUGUGGUUGUUGUUUAAGUUCUCGGAAGCAUUAUUCUCAUCCAGGCCUGCAUUUUCUUUGUCGUUAAUGCUCUGAGCAGCAUUGUUCUCAUUCUUAUCUGCAUUCUCAUUGUUGGUGUCACUCUGAAAAGCAUUGUUGUCCUCAUUCCGACUUGCAUUUUUGCUCUUCUGGGAACCAUUAUUCCCAUUUUGAUCUCCAUUGUCAUUGUCAAUAACACCCUCAGCAGCAUUGUUCUCAUUUUGGCCUGCAUUCUCAUUGUUGUUGGUGUUGAUCUGAACAGGAUCAUUGUUCUCAUUCUGUCUUGCAUUCUCAUUUCCGUCGUUGUUUAAGUUCUGGGAAGCAUUAUUCUCAUUCUGACCUGCAUUUUCGUUGUCGGUAAUGCUCUCAGCAGCAUUUUUCUUAUUUCGGUCUGCACUCUCAUUGUUGUUGUUGUUCUUUAAGUUCUGAGAAGCAUCAUUCUCAUUCUGACUUGCAUUUUUGUUGUCAGUAAUGCUCUGAGCAGCAUCGUUCUCAUUGUUAUUGUUGUUCAAGUUCUGGAAAGCGUUAUUCUCAUUCCGAACUGCAUUUUCGUUGUCGGUAACGCUGCCUGUAUUCUCAUUGUUGUUGAUGUUGCUCUGAACAGCACCAUUGUUCUCAUUCUGAUGGGCUUUGUCAUUGUUGUUGCUCUGGGAAUCAUUAUUCUGAUUCUGACCUGCGUUUUUGUUGUCCUUGUAGCUCUGAGCAGUAUUAUUCUCAUUGUGACUUGCAUUCUCGUUGUUGUUGGUGUUGCUCUGAGCAGCAUUUUCAUCUAGAUUUGAAUUAUUACUGUCCUUUUCAGUAACCUCUUCAUUUGCAUUUGCAUUUGCAUUAGUGCUGCUCUGAUUGUCAGUGCUGAUGUCUUUCUCAUUUACAUUUGCAUCAUUGUUGGUAUAGCCGCCACUCUCAUUCUCCUUCUGACCUGGACCGGCAUUAUCAUUAGUGUUUGAGGAAGUUUUCCCUCCUUCGGCAAUUGAAGAAUCAGAAGCAUGAACUUCUUCAUUCUGACCAGCAUUCGAAUUAUCAAUUGUGUUCAAGGAAAGAAGUUUUCCUCGCGUACCCUCUACUCCAGAAUUAUCGUAGGAUUCUUCCCUCUGAACUCUGUCAUUUUGGCUUGUAAAUGAAGAGGCAGAAUUCUUAUCUGAUCCUCUCCAUGCAUUGAAGUUCUCAGUCUGUUCAUUUGAUUCAACAGAUUUAGAGUUACCGGUAGAGGCUGUAGAACCUUCGCUAGCUCCAUCCAUGUUUUCAGUCAAAGUAGCAAUUGCAUUUGAAUCUGACUGCUCGCCAUUGCCACCUGAGUCCGAUUGUUGAUCAUUUUCAUUCUGAGUUGUGUUGGAUGUCGCAUCUGCCCCAUCCUGGUGCUCAUUUGAUUUUGUAUCUCUCAUGGAAGCCUCAGUGCUCUCAUAACCACUCUCAGGAUAGUUUUCAGUUGUCCCAUUUUCCUGCUCAUUUGACUCGUUAUGAUGGACAUUGGCUGCUUCACUGCUAUUCGAUCCUUUCUCCUGCUCAAAUUCAUUUUUAUCAUUGUUUUCCGGUUCCUCCAACUCAUUGGAAUUUUUCAAAUCACUUGUCUCAUUCUCCAUCGCGACAUGUUGGGUAUCAUGGAUUACUUCACUUGAAGCAUCACCCCCUUUGUAAUGUUCUUCUCUUGCUUCUUCAUUAUUCCUGUCUACUCCAUCAUUGACCCGAUCAUCAGAAUUCUCUACCUCAUCUCCGCUUUUCUGACUCUCUUUCUCGCCACUUUCUGUUGCAUUACUCUCUUCCCCAAUAUGCUUAUUUUCCUUCUCUUGACUCUCCUCGGUGUUUUCUUUCUCCUCGAGCUCCGCAUUGACUUCACUCGCCUUGUUUUCACUGUCCUCUUUACUCUCUUCUAACACUUCCUCUCCACUCUCCAGGUCUCCAUUUUCCUUCUCUUCACUCUCAUGGUUCCGACUUUCUUCAUUUUCCUUCUCUCCAUAUAUAGAAACUUCUCCACGCUCGGUUUCCUCUCUUGGCAUAGCAAUGUCAUGCUCAUGCAUUGCAUCAUCAUCCCCAUUCCCUCUUUCUUCAUUGUCCGUUUCAUCAAGCUUGUUAUCAUCUUCUCCAAGCUUGCUUUCUUCCUCUUCUUCCUCCUUGUCCUGCACAUCCUUAAUAAUCGUUUCCUUUGCUUGAGGAAGGUCCUUUCUCCCCAACUUAAUGACUUCAUUCGCGGAUUUCUCAUACUCCGCUUUCUUCUCACUAGAGUGCCUAACUUGGUAAAGCAACCAUAUGCAAAUAGCAACCAGAAGACAUAUUUGUAAAGCAUGCUUUACCUUCAAACCUUUGGAUCUUUGAUUCCUAUGAGAUGAAAUCCUGAACAUGGCGAACUUUCUUCAACCUGCUGGCAAAACACAACCAGCAGCAUAUUUAUUUUGUAAUUAGAUAUAUAGUAAUACACUAUAUCAACAAGAACCAACAGCCUAACAUUAGAGAGAGAAUGCGAAAACUCGAGCACACAUUGACAAUAUAAGCAAUGACAAUGCAGAUCGUCCCAUCCCAUGAACUAAAGCUUAAAUGGUAGUUUAUCAUGAACAGUCGCAUGCUUUCAUAAGUUACAAAUGAGAAAAAACAUACAAGAGAUAAAAAGUACAAUGAAACCCAAUCAUGUUUUUCCUCCGGUUAUUCUCAAAAAGGAAAAGAAAAAUAAAAUGCAAUAUCAAAUUUGUAUUAAAAAUCUGAAACAGAUCAAACCACCUGAAUUUUAAAGUUAACCCAUUUUUUAACACUUAAAUUGUAAAAGCUUGGAUAGAGACUUGCCUGGAAUCCAAAUGAUCAGGAAGAAACUAACAAUGGAAACCUUUUUCUUUUUAGGUGAAAUUCCGAGAAUAGUUCUAUAUCCAGGAAUUUGGACGAACUGAAAAAAGAAAAAGAAAAGACUUCAAUGGAAGAUUAAA
rnacentral:lncRNA from 1 species